rnacentral:rRNA from 1 species
UACGUAGGGUCCGAGCGUUGUCCGGAUUUACUGGGCGUAAAGCGCGCGCAGGCGGCGGUGCUGGCCCGGCGUGAAAGCCCCCGGCUCAACCGGGGAGGGUCGUCGGGGACCGCACCGCUUGAGGGCGGUAGGGGCUGGUGGAAUGCCUGGUGUAGUGGUGAAAUGCGUAGAGAUCAGGCGGAACACCCGUGGCGAAGGCGGCCAGCUGGGCCGUCCCUGACGCUGAGGCGCGAAGGCGUGGGGAGCGAACAGG